AGCCUGUUGUGAGCAGGAUAUCUGCUGCUGUUUUCCACAUCACACUUCCCAGCCCUUUGCUACAACUUGCUGCUGGAGAGCAUGGCUGUCACUUCUGGAAGGUUUCAAGUUGUUUCUCACUAACUGAUCAGAGUAUCUCGUUUUGGGAUAAUCCAUUACCAAAAGAUGCCACAGCACACUGCAGCAAAUUAAGUGUUUCAUUUCCAAAGUUGUUGCUACAUCCCGCUGUCUUGCAGACCAUUCAACAACAUUAACGUAGUAGUAGUCAUUGCUAAUACCUUUUCUUUUUUUUUUUUUUUUUUUCAGGUCCUGGGGACAACAAUACCAGGAGAAGUCACACCGCAUGCAGCAGACCCAUCUGUGGCUUGAAGAGAGGCCAAGUACCUGGCACCUGAUGACUGUAGACCAUUGAACCCUGGCACAUAUGAGAUAAGCAAAUAAAAAGAGGUGAUUGAGAACUUUUCUGCACAUCUUGGACAGUGCCAGCAGCUAAGCUGCUAAGGCAAUAGGCUCGGACCCUGACUGCCACCCUAACUGUCCUGAGUACCAGCUGAUCUUCAGGACACAGCAAGAAGAGGUCAUCCUCCAAAUAAGGAGGUAACAUUUUCCAUAUUAGCACUAUUUUUUUCCAGUCUACUUACCUCUAGCUUUGCACCUGUUCAGUUGUCUGAAUCCACACCAGUGUCUACAGCCACGUAUGUUUUCUUAAUGGGUUAAAAAAGGAAAAAGAAACACAUCUCUGUUGCUCAGUGUAUUCCAUGAAGUUAGGCUUAUUUGCAUAAAAAAGGCUCCCCCAAAAAAUCAAGUGAGGCUGACUAAUGUCCUGAAGAUCCUUUUAGUGCCUAAGAGGCAUGCAUUGUGGAAACUGUUUACUGUCUCCUGAGUAAUGGAGUCUGUGAUAAGCAAUUUGUUUUGUAGGAAAAUAAUGUCACCUCAAGUAGCUGAAGGAUAUCGUAAUGACUUUCCACAUUGUCAGCAUUCCAUUGUAUCUCUUGGCUUCUGAGUACACUGGUGUAUCGAAAAUUAAUACAAGGGAAACAGAAAAUUGCUCCAAAUGUUAGACAUGCUACCACAUUUCAAGGAUGUAGCUGUUGACUUUACCAAUAUUAAAACCAGAAUCCAGUAGAAGCCUACACUUUUUGCACAGAAUAUGAGAGCUGGCUUUAGGAUGAUGGUCCCCUAAACAUUAUUAUUCCUUAGGUCUGAGGAUGUUUCUUUUUUGGGACCUGACAGCAUUUGAGGUUUCUUAAGAAGGCUUUGGAUUACAGGCACAGCAUGAGCUCCCUCUUGUGAGCCAUGCCUAAUGAAAAAAGCCAAGGAAUUCUCAACUGUCGUCUGAUCUCAGUUCAGGACUAAACCUCCUAAAAUCUCCAUAACACUGGGAGACUCCAUAGCUUGCUUUGAUUUGUGGAUAACUGCCUGUGGAGAAGGGGCAUCUAAAAAUAGCUGAACAUGAUGAAGGGACACGCUGAGGAGCUUUAGCAAUGGAGGAGCAACCUGAGGGAGGCAAGAAGAAAAUUGGACUGCCUUCCGCGGUAUUACUGCUGGUGACAAAGUACCCAUUUAUUCUUAGCAUCCUACAGUUCAGCACAAUGACAACAUUUUCAUUCUCAAUGUGAAAGGGCUGAACUUAAAGGGAAGCAACCAGAUUUCUCAUAAGAAUAUAUCUUAUACACUCAGGUAUGCUAAAUUAAAGGCACUAAAUGAACAAUACUGAGACAUCUCUGAACAGUGACUCAUGGCCUUGGGCAUGUGCACUCUGAGAAGUGAGAUAAACUAGCCUGGACAAAGCACCAUUCGGAUAUGUACUUCUCAUUUGGCAUUGCAAGAGGACCAGAGCAUGCAAAUUGAAAGUGAGCACAGGCUGAUACAACCCACAGCAGAAUCAGGAUCUACACACCACUACAAGCAUAGCCAGGGCAGCAUGCACAAAUGUGAGAUCUUGCAUGGCUGGAGCUAGAGAGGCAGGCUGAUUUGGGGCUGGUUUUGUUCCCAGGGUAGCCAGAAUUGCCCAGUGGAUGCUGUCCCCCACCUGGUGAGCACAAUGCCAGCCUCUCUUGCCAUGAGGAAAGCUUCACUACUGCAUGUGUCACCAGAGCCACCCAGCUCCUGCCCUGCUCCCUUCCAGCGGAUAGGACUCUGGUGGGUUUGGUGCAGACGGGUGCUGGGGAGUGGUGUCCAGCUCAUGGCUUUCCUUCUGUCUCACUUAGCCCAGGCAGUCCAUGCUGAAAGCAGCUCUGCUGAAGCUCUAGAAAUGCCCUAUGCCAUUAAACAUAGAACAGAGGGUGUGCAGCAAGGCAACCUUUGCAGUCACUGCUGAGCAGCUCUUAGCAUUGCUGCACUGUGGAACUGUGCAAAAGCCACCUCACGAGGAAGGCAAAGGAGCCUGCUGAAUAUAUGUCUGUGUAUGCAUCUUCUAGAAAACCAGAAGUCAUUAAUUGAAGCUUGAGCAUCCUUCUGGUGCUUGCAUCAGCAUAUACAGCAUUUUUCUGUUGGCACGUCUCAAUGGACUUUGCAAAGGUGGUGAAUGGCUCUCCCCAUUUGAGAGACAGGGAAAAUGAAGCAGACAUUCAUGUAGUGUUGCUGAGAGCUGCCUGUGCAAGCCAAAGGCAGAACCAGGCCUAUGAGCCAGGUCUCUGUCUCAAACCAUUGCCCUUCCCAUGAAGCAUCACUGCCUUCUGGUAGGGACUUCUUCACCUGCAUCUUCCAGGUUUUAUGAAGGUGCUUUAGCCAACAGCUUUCAAAGUUUUCCUUCAAUAACAAUGUUCCUCUGAGCAGGGAAAUUUCCUUCCAGGUGACAUCUGACUUGAUAGCAGUUCUCUGCCUGGAUGUGGUUGCUAUGACGGCUGCUCCCAGUUCAGCAAAUCCUCAUCCUGCCAAUCCUCCGCAAACGCAACUCUUGCAUAUCUUAUAUUCUCUGGGAAAUCAAACUAUGCUUCUGUUUUUAGUCUUUUAAUCUUCUCAUGUCUGUGUCUCCUUUUGUUUGGAAUCAGUGAUGUUAAAGCAGCCUUGUGCUGCCAAUAUUUUAACAACAGGUUUUCAGAAAAAAUAUCCCCACCUCAGUCUAUGAUAGAUUUGGAGUACUGUAUUGCUUGGGCUGCUGAGAAGAGAGACUGGGGAAUCUACUUUUAUGGCUUGCCUUUGAAAUAAAAACCCUUUCACAUAAAAA